AAGAAGGCCUUCGGGUUGUAAAGCUCUUUUGUCAGGGAAGAAACGGUUUGGGCUAAUAUCCUGAGCUAAUGACGGUACCUGAAGAAUAAGCACCGGCUAACUACGUGCCAGCAGCCGCGGUAAUACGUAGGGUGCAAGCGUUAAUCGGAAUUACUGGGCGUAAAGCGUGCGCAGGCGGUUUUGUAAGUCUGACGUGAAAUCCCCGGGCUCAACCUGGGAAUUGCGUUGGAGACUGCAAGGCUAGAAUCUGGCAGAGGGGGGUAGAAUUCCACGUGUAGCAGUGAAAUGCGUAGAGAUGUGGAGGAACACCGAUGGCGAAGGCAGCCCCCUGGGUCAAGAUUGACGCUCAUGCACGAAAGCGUGGGGAGCAAACAGGAUUAGAUACCCUGGUAGUCCACGCCCUAAACGAUGUCUACUAGUUGUCGGGUUUUAAUUAACUUGGUAACGCAGCUAACGC
rnacentral:rRNA from 1 species